GGAUGCAAGGGCAAUCUGGUUGAGAUACCGGCUGCCCCAUUGGUCACUAGGGCUGAUUGGGUUCAUCUGACUGGCUAGGCAGACAUUACCUUCCUCUUCUAUAGCUACACGUUCAUCACCCUUCAUACAUCUAUCUGAUCCUUCCUCAGUCGGCUGAAGAAGACUUGUCCCAAUAGACACUUCCUCAGUCUAGUUUAUGAAUUAUCUCUGCUCCUCCAUUAGAAUCUCUAAUCAAGCAGUAAAGUUACAGACAGCAUAAAUAUGGGUGGUGGUGCAAACAUUCAAACCAUGAGUAUUU
rnacentral:snRNA from 1 species